rnacentral:Y_RNA from 1 species
UGCUGGUCCGAGGGUAGUGAGUUAUCUCAUUAGAUUGUUCAGAGUCAGUUACAGAUUGAACUCCUUUUACUCUUUCCCCCUUCUCACUACUGCACUUGCUUAGUCUUAA